rnacentral:rRNA from 1 species
CUAAGCAGCCACAUCACCCUGCAGCUCUCAACUGGCAACCCACCUGAAGCAAAGCAGGUGUGAGCCUGGUCAGUACCUGGAUGGAGACCUCCUGGGAAAAACUUGGGUUGCUGCUGGAA